GUGGGGAAUCUUCCGCAAUGGACGAAAGUCUGACGGAGCAACGCCGCGUGAGUGAUGAAGGUCUUCGGAUUGUAAAGCUCUGUUAAUCGGGACGAAAGAGCCUAGUGUGAAUAAUGCUAGGAAGUGACGGUACCGGAAUAGAAAGCCACGGCUAACUACGUGCCAGCAGCCGCGGUAAUACGUAGGUGGCAAGCGUUGUCCGGAAUUAUUGGGCGUAAAGCGCGCGCAGGCGGAUCUGCCAGUCUGUCUUAAAAGUUCGGGGCUUAACCCCGUGAUGGGAUGGAAACUACAGAUCUAGAGUAUCGGAGAGGAAAGUGGAAUUCCUAGUGUAGCGGUGAAAUGCGUAGAUAUUAGGAAGAACACCAGUGGCGAAGGCGGCUUGCUGGACGACAACUGACGCUGAGGCGCGAAAGCGUGGGGAGCAAACAGGAUUAGAAACCCGUGUAGUCC
rnacentral:rRNA from 1 species